UUGGCUACUGGACAGAAUAUGUUUCUCGGGU
rnacentral:piRNA from 1 species